rnacentral:siRNA from 1 species
CAGAUAUCAGUGCCAUUCCAUGGG